rfam:Pteropus alecto contig73289, whole genome shotgun sequence.
GUCUACGGCCACGCACCCCUGAACACGCUCGAUCCGGUCUGAUCUUGGAAGCCAAGCAGGGUCAGGCCUGGUUAGUACUUGGAUGGGAGACCACCUAGGAAGACCAGGCGCUGUAGGCG